CAGGGGGGAGCAAGCGUUGUUCGGAUUUACUGGGCGUAAAGGGCGUGUAGGCGGCCACCGCAAGUCGACUGUGAAAUCUCCGGGCUUAACUCGGAAAGGUCAGCCGAUACUGCGGGGCUAGAGUGCAGAAGGGGCAACUGGAAUUCUCGGUGUAGCGGUGAAAUGCGUAGAUAUCGAGAGGAACACCUGCGGCGAAGGCGGGUUGCUGGGCUGACACUGACGCUGAAACGCGAAAGCUAGGGGAGCGAACGGGAUUAGAUACCCCGGUAGUCCUAGCCUUAAACGAUGAAUGCUUGGUGUCUGGGGUUUUAUAGUCCCCGGGUGCCGUCGCUAACGCUUUAAGCAUUCCGCCUGGGGAGUACGGUCGCAAGACUG
rnacentral:rRNA from 1 species